rnacentral:tRNA from 1 species
UGCACUUGUAGUGUAAUGGAUAGCACGUAAGAUUCCGGUUCUUAAGUUAAGGGUUCGAUUCCCUUCAAGUGCAU